AUUGAACGCUGGCGGCAUGCCUUACACAUGCAAGUCGAACGGCAGCACGGGGGCAACCCUGGUGGCGAGUGGCGAACGGGUGAGUAAUGCAUCGGAACGUGUCCUCUUGUGGGGGAUAACCAGUCGAAAGACUGGCUAAUACCGCAUGAGAUCGCAAGAUGAAAGCAGGGGACUCCGAGGGUAACUUCGGGGCCUUGCGCGAGAGGAGCGGCCGAUGCCCGAUUAGCUAGUUGGUGGGGUAAAAGCCUACCAAGGCGACGAUCGGUAGCUGGUCUGAGAGGACGACCAGCCACACUGGGACUGAGACACGGCCCAGACUCCUACGGGAGCAGCAGUGGGAAUUUUGGACAAUGGGGCAACCCUGAUCCAGCCAUGCCGCGUGUGUGAU
rnacentral:rRNA from 1 species